GACGAACGCUGGCGGCGUGCUUAACACAUGCAAGUCGAACGGAAAGGCCCUGCUUUUGUGGGGUGCUCGAGUGCCGAACGGGUGAGUAACACGUGAGUAACCUGCCCUUGUCUUUGGUGUAACUUCAGGAAACUGGGGCUAAUAUCGGAUAGCAGCUGCUGCUGCAUGGUGGGGGUUGGAAAGUUUCGGCGGUUGGGGAUGGAUUCGCGGCUUACCAGCUUGUUGGUGGGGGAGUUGCUUACCCAGGCUUUGACGGGUAGCCGGCUUGAGAGAGUGACCGGGGACAAUGGGCCUGAGAUACGGCCCAGACUGGAACGGGAGGCAGCAGGGGAGAGUCUGACACAGUGAGCCGAAGCGUGAGGCAACGGCGCCGGGUGCGGGAUGACCGCCUUCGGGUUAUGAACCGCUUUCGCCUGUGACGAGGCGUGUGUGACGGUAAUGAGUAAAGAAGCACCGGCUAACUACGUG
rnacentral:rRNA from 1 species